rnacentral:rRNA from 1 species
ACGCUCGACACCUACGGGAGCAGCAGUGGGGAAUAUUGCACAAUGGGGGAAACCCUGAUGCAGCGACGCCGCGUGAGCGAAGAAGUAUCUCGGUAUGUAAAGCUCUAUCAGCAGGGAAGAAGAUGACGGUACCUGACUAAGAAGCACCGGCUAAAUACGUGCCAACAGGCCGCGGUAAUCUGAGCGGGCUGGCAAGGC